rnacentral:pre_miRNA from 1 species
GAUGUACUCCCUCCGUCCGGAAAUACUUGUCAUUGAAAUGGAUGUAUCUAGAUGUAUUUUAGUUCUAGACACAUCCAUUUUUAUGACAAGUAAUUCCGGACGGAGGGAGUACAUA